UACGUAGGGGGCAAGCGUUAUCCGGAAUUACUGGGUGUAAAGGGUGAGUAGGCGGCAUGGCAAGCCAGAUGUGAAAGCCUUGGGCUUAACCCGAGGAUUGCAUUUGGAACUAUCAAGCUAGAGUACAGGAGAGGAAAGCGGAAUUCCUAGUGUAGCGGUGAAAUGCGUAGAUAUUAGGAAGAACACCAGUGGCGAAGGCGGCUUUCUGGACUGAAACUGACGCUGAGGCACGAAAGCGUGGGGAGCGAACAGG
rnacentral:rRNA from 1 species